rnacentral:rRNA from 1 species
UACGGGGGGGGCAAGCGUUGUUCGGAAUUACUGGGCGUAAAGGGCUCGUAGGCGGCCAACUAAGUCGGACGUGAAAUCCCUCGGCUUAACCGGGGAAUGGCGUCCGAUACUGGAUGGCUUGAGUCCGGGAGAGGGAUGCGGAAUUCCAGGUGUAGCGGUGAAAUGCGUAGAUAUCUGGAGGAACACCGGUGGCGAAGGCGGCAUCCUGGACCGGCACUGACGCUGAGGAGAGAAAGCCAGGGGAGCAAACGGG